rnacentral:rRNA from 1 species
CAAUGGGCGCAGCCUGAUGCAGCGACGCCGCGUGCGGGAUGACGGCCUUCNNCCAANUUAAACCGCUUNUGACUGGGAGCAAGCCCUUCGGGGUGAGUGUACCUUUCGAAUAAGCACCGGCUAACUACGUGCCAGCAGCCGCGGUAAUACGUAGGGUGCAAGCGUUAUCCGGAAUUAUUGGGCGUAAAGGGCUCGUAGGCGGUUCGUCGCGUCCGGUGUGAAAGUCCAUCGCUUAACGGUGGAUCCGCGCCGGGUACGGGCGGGCUUGAGUGCGGUAGGGGAGACUGGAAUUCCCGGUGUAACGGUGGAAUGUGUAGAUAUCGGGAAGAACACCAAUGGCGAAGGCAGGUCUCUGGGCCGUUACUGACGCUGAGGAGCGAAAGCGUGGGGAGCGAACAGGAUUAGAUACCCUGGUAGUCCAAGGGCGAAUUC